ACAGAGGGACAGGCGUUCGCUGAGUCGCAAGGCUUAGAGGAAAGUCCGGGCUCCACAGGACACGAUGGUGGGUAACGCCCACCGUCCGUGAGGAUCGGGCAAGUGCAACAGAAAGUAAACCGCCGAACGUCGAAGUUACUCCUCGGAGUUCGCUUCGAGAAGGCUGCGACGUGGUAAGGGUGAAACGGUGCGGUAGGUGACUCGAUCGGCUGGGUAAACCCCAUCCGGUGCAAGACCAAACAGGGAGGAGAGGCUGUUCGUCUCGUUUGACUUCCGGGUAGGUCGCUUGAGGCAACGGGCAACCGUUGUCCCAGAUAAAUGGCAGCCAUCGUCAACAUGAAUAUGCCCAAGUGGCGCGUGUUGGCGGUACAGAACCCGGCUUACAAGCCCACUCACGCC
rnacentral:RNase_P_RNA from 1 species